rnacentral:rRNA from 1 species
GUGGGGAAUUUUGGACAAUGGGCGCAAGCCUGAUCCAGCAAUGCCGCGUGCAGGAAGAAGGCCUUCGGGUUGUAAACUGCUUUUGUACGGAACGAAACGGUCCUGGCUAAUAUCCGGGGCUAAUGACGGUACCGUAAGAAUAAGCACCGGCUAACUACGUGCCAGCAGCCGCGGUAAUACGUAGGGUGCGAGCGUUAAUCGGAAUUACUGGGCGUAAAGCGUGCGCAGGCGGUGCUGUAAGACAGGCGUGAAAUCCCCGGGCUCAACCUGGGAAUUGCGCUUGUGACUGCAGUGCUGGAGUGCGACAGAGGGGGAUGGAAUUCCGCGUGUAGCAGUGAAAUGCGUAGAUAUGCGGAGGAACACCGAUGGCGAAGGCAAUCCCCUGGGCCUGCACUGACGCUCAUGCACGAAAGCGUGGGGAGCAAACAGGAUUAGAAACCCUUGUAGUCC